rnacentral:rRNA from 1 species
CGGUCCUGAGUAAAGUGGCGCACGGGUGAGUAACACGUGACUAACCUACCUUUGAGUGGGGGAUAACCUAGGGAAACCUGGGCUAAUACCGCAUAAUACCUACGGGUCAAAGCGAGUAAUCGCGCUUUAAGAGGGGGUCGCGGCAGAUUAGCUAGUUGGUAGGGUAAUGGCCUACCAAGGCGAUGAUCUGUAUCCGGCCUGAGAGGGCGCACGGACACACUGGAACUGAAACACGGUCCAG